UAAGUACCUACUUUAACCUCUCGUCUGUUAUAGGUAUUAAAAAUAAAUCUCCGUUGUCUGUGUGAAAUGACGUCACCUGCGCGCGGGAAGUGAAAUUCAAAUUGACAUACCAAGCAACGCUUGGUACUUUGAACGAAAUGAAUGACUGUUUAUUGUUCGUUAUUUAUCUGUCUAUAUUAUAAUAUUAGACUUUAAACUCUAUUUCAAGACCAAUAAAGCUUAAAAUCCAAUAAGAGAAGGCAAGGUAGUAUAGACAUGGAUGGCAUGGAUCCAUGACAACACAGACAAGCCGCCCGCAAGGAUCCAUGCCAACACAGACGAGAGGUUAAG